rnacentral:rRNA from 1 species
UGCAGUCGGACGGUAGCACAGAGGAGCUUGCUCCUCGGGUGACGAGUGGCGGACGGGUGAGUAAUGUCUGGGGAUCUGCCCGAUAGAGGGGGAUAACCACUGGAAACGGUGGCUAAUACCGCAUAACGUCGCAAGACCAAAGAGGGGGACCUUCGGGCCUCUCACUAUCGGAUGAACCCAGAUGGGAUUAGCUAGUAGGCGGGGUAACGGCCCACCUAGGCGACGAUCCCUAGCUGGUCUGAGAGGAUGACCAGCCACACUGGAACUGAGACACGGUCCAGACUCCUACGGGAGGCAGCAGUGGGGAAUAUUGCACAAUGGGCGCAAGCCUGAUGCAGCCAUGCCGCGUGUAUGAAGAAGGCCUUCGGGUUGUAAAGUACUUUCAGCGGGGAGGAAGGCGAUGUGGUUAAUAACCUUGUUGAUUGACGUUACCCGCAGAAGAAGCACCGGCUAACUCCGUGCCAGCAGCCGCGGUAAUACGGA